rnacentral:pre_miRNA from 1 species
AAAAUGCGUCCAACAAAAGAUGUCUCAACUUUGUCAAAAUUUGGAUAUAUCUAGAUAUGACUUAGUGUAUAAAUAUAUUCAAAUUUAGUCAAAAUUGAGACAUCUUUUUUGGACAGAGGAAGCAUUAG